GUUUGAUUCUGGCUCAGAACGAACGCUGGCGGCAGGCUUAACACAUGCAAGUCGAGCGGUAACAGGGGGUGCUUGCACCCCGCUGACGAGCGGCGGACGGGUGAGUAAUGCAUAGGAAACUGCCCAGUAGUGGGGGAUAGCCCGGGGAAACCCGGAUUAAUACCGCGUACGCCCUUCGGGGGAAAGCAGGGGAUCUUCGGACCUUGCGCUAUUGGAUGUGCCUAUGUCGGAUUAGCUAGUUGGUGGGGUAAAGGCCUACCAAGGCGACGAUCCGUAGCUGGUCUGAGAGGAUGAUCAGCCACACUGGGACUGAGACACGGCCCAGACUCCUACGGGAGGCAGCAGUAGGGAAUCUUCCG
rnacentral:rRNA from 1 species